GAUGAACGCUAGCUACAGGCUUAACACAUGCAAGUCGAGGGGAAACGAUAUUGGAAGCUUGCUUCCGAUAGGCGUCGACCGGCGCACGGGUGAGUAACGCGUAUCCAACCUGCCCACCACUUGGGAAUAACCUUGCGAAAGUAAGACUAAUACCCAAUGAUAUCUCUAGAAGACAUCUGAAGGAGAUUAAAGAUUUAUCGGUGAUGGAUGGGGAUGCGUCUGAUUAGCUUGUUGGCGGGGUAACGGCCCACCAAGGCGACGAUCAGUAGGGGUUCUGAGAGGAAGGUCCCCCACAUUGGAACUGAGACACGGUCCAAACUCCUACGGGAGGCAGCAGUGAGGAAUAUUGGUCAAUGGACGAGAGUCUGAACCAGCCAAGUAGCGUGCAGGAUGACGGCCCUAUGGGUUGUAAACUGCUUUUAUAAGGGAAUAAAGUGAGCCACGUGUGGCUUUUUGCAUGUACCUUAUGAAUAAGGACCGGCUAAUUCCGUGCCAGCCGCCGCGGUAA
rnacentral:rRNA from 1 species